AUUGAACGCUGGCGGCAGGCCUAACACAUGCAAGUCCAGCGGAUGAAGGGAGCUUGCUCCUGGAUUCAGCGGCGGACGGGUGAGUAAUGCCUAGGAAUCUGCCUGGUAGUGGGGGAUAACGUCCGGAAACGGGCGCUAAUACCGCAUACGUCCUGAGGGAGAAAGUGGGGGAUCUUCGGACCUCACGCUAUCAGAUGAGCCUAGGUCGGAUUAGCUAGUUGGUGGGGUAAAGGCCUACCAAGGCGACGAUCCGUAACUGGUCUGAGAGGAUGAUCAGUCACACUGGAACUGAGACACGGUCCAGACUCCUACGGGAGGCAGCAGUGGGGAAUAUUGGACAAUGGGCGAAAGCCUGAUCCAGCCAUGCCGCGUGUGUGAAGAAGGUCUUCGGAUUGUAAAGCACUUUAAGUUGGGAGGAAGGGCAGUAAGUUAAUACCUUGCUGUUUUGACGUUACCGACAGAAUAAGCACCGGCUAACUUCGUG
rnacentral:rRNA from 1 species